GAUGAACGCUGACAGAAUGCUUAACACAUGCAAGUCAUUGGCGAAGCUGCGCUUGCGCAGUCUAGCCAAGGCGGACGGGUGAGUAACGCGUAAGGAACUUGCCCUGCAGACAGGGAUAACAGACGGAAACGACUGAUAACACCUGGUAUUGUCAGGCUGGCGCAUGCCGGCCUGAUGAAAGGAGACGCUGCAGGAGAGCCUUGCGUCCUAUUAGCUAGUUGGUGGGGUAACGGCCCACCAAGGCGAUGAUAGGUAGCCGGCCUGAGAGGGUGAACGGCCACAGGGGGACUGAGAUACGGCCCUUACUCCUACGGGAGGCAGCAGUGGGGAAUAGUGGACAAUGGGGGCAACCCUGAUCCAGCAAUUCUGUGUGCACGAAGAAGGUUUUCGGAUUGUAAAGUGCUUUCAGCAGGGAAGAAGAAAGUGACGGUACCUGCAGAAGAAGCGACGGCUAAAUACGUG
rnacentral:rRNA from 1 species